rnacentral:lncRNA from 1 species
UUAAUAUUGGCAUUUCUUGGUCAUAAAAUUCAGUCCAUCUGUGAAUCUACAUGAUAAAAAUUGUAGAUUAUCAUGAUAAAAACCUGAUAUUAAUAGAAGAAGAAAAUUUAAUAGACUUGAAAAAUGACCUUAUGCACAAAGAUUCCCAUUCUGAGCUAACAUGUUGGAUUUCUCUGUGGAGUCAGUAUUCUCAAUUAGCUACUACACCCAUUAAAUCCUUGUUGCUGUUUGGAUCAUCAUAUCUUUGUGAAUUAAGUUUCUCAGCUCUCAUGGAAAUGAAAUGGAAAAAAACAGGAAUAAUUGCUGAUGGUAAAUGAGGGAUUGUGUAUGUGUUUAUUUAAUUUAGAACCACAUCUUGAUAUAAUUGGUUCUGAAAAUCAGUCAUAUCCUUCUUGUUAAUAAAAUUAUUAUUUAUAUUACCUACUUAAUAAUUUCGAUAGAACAAUAUUAUUUUAUUAUUGUUAUCUAUAUUAAUAUUUUGAUUCAUAUUAAUAAAUUUUUUUGGAUAUUUAUUUGGUGUG